UACGUAGGGUGCGAGCGUUGUUCGGAAUCACUGGGCGUAAAGGGAGCGUAGGCGGGAUCGUAAGUUAGGAGUUUAAUACAUGGGCUCAACCCGUGAUAUGCUUUUAAUACUGCGGUUCUUGAGUAUGGGAGAGGGUGAUGGAAUUCCAGGUGUAGCGGUGGAAUGCGUAGAUAUCUGGAAGAACACCAGUAGCGAAGGCGGUCACCUGGCCCAAUACUGACGCUGAGGCUCGAAAGCUGGGGGAGCAAACAGGAUUAGAUACCCUGGUAGUCCCAGCCGUAAACGAUGGACACUAGUUGCCGGGAGAGUCAAUCCUUUCGGUGACGAAGCUAACGCAUUAAGUGUCCCGCCUGGGAAGUACGCCCGCAAGGGUGAAACUCAAAGGAAUUGACGGGGGCCCGCACAAGCGGUGGAGCAUGUGCUUUAAUUCGAUGCAACGCGAAGAACCUUACCUGGGUUUGACAUGGGGGUGAAAGUCUGUAGAGAUAUGGAUCUUUCCGCAAGGAACACCCCACACAGGUGCUGCAUGGUU
rnacentral:rRNA from 1 species